rnacentral:tRNA from 1 species
GUUCGCAUAGUGUAGUGGUUAUCACACUUGCUUAACACGCAAGAGGUCAAGAGUUCGAUUCUCUUUGGGAACA